CCAUGCAUGUCUAAGUAUAAGCAAUUAUACCGCGAAACUGCGAAUGGCUCAUUAUAUAAGUUAUCGUUUAUUUGAUAAUACUUUACUACUUGGAUAACCGUGGUAAUUCUAGAGCUAAUACAUGCUGAAAAUCCCGACUUCGGAAGGGAUGUAUUUAUUAGAUUAAAAACCAAUGCCCCUCGGGGCUCUCUGGUGAAUCAUGAUAACUAGUCGAAUCGACAGGCCUUGUGCCGGCGAUGGCUCAUUCAAAUUUCUUCCCUAUCAACUUUCGAUGUUUGGGUAUUGGCCAAACAUGGUGGCAACGGGUAACGGAGGGUUAGGGCUCGACCCCGGAGAAGGAGCCUGAGAAAC
rnacentral:rRNA from 1 species